rnacentral:rRNA from 1 species
AACUGAAGAGUUUGAUCAUGGCUCAGAUUGAACGCUGGCGGCAGGCUUAACACAUGCAAGUCGAGCGGGGGAAGGUAGCUUGCUACUGGACCUAGCGGCGGACGGGUGAGUAAUGCUUAGGAAUCUGCCUAUUAGUGGGGGACAACAUCUCGAAAGGGAUGCUAAUACCGCAUACGUCCUACGGGAGAAAGCAGGGGAUCUUCGGACCUUGCGCUAAUAGAUGAGCCUAAGUCGGAUUAGCUAGUUGGUGGGGUAAAGGCCUACCAAGGCGACGAUCUGUAGCGGGUCUGAGAGGAUGAUCCGCCACACUGGGACUGAGACACGGCCCAGACUCCUACGGGAGGCAGCAGUGGGGAAUAUUGGACAAUGGGGGGAACCCUGAUCCAGCCAUGCCGCGUGUGUGAAGAAGGCCUUAUGGUUGUAAAGCACUUUAAGCGAGGAGGAGGCUACUUUAGUUAAUACCUAGAGAUAGUGGACGUUACUCGCAGAAUAAGCACCGGCUAACUCUGUGCCAGCAGCCGCGGUAAUACAGAGGGUGCGAGCGUUAAUCGGAUUUACUGGGCGUAAAGCGUGCGUAGGCGGCUUAUUAAGUCGGAUGUGAAAUCCCCGAGCUUAACUUGGGAAUUGCAUUCGAUACUGGUGAGCUAGAGUAUGGGAGAGGAUGGUAGAAUUCCAGGUGUAGCGGUGAAAUGCGUAGAGAUCUGGAGGAAUACCGAUGGCGAAGGCAGCCAUCUGGCCUAAUACUGACGCUGAGGUACGAAAGCAUGGGGAGCAAACAGGAUUAGAUACCCUGGUAGUCCAUGCCGUAAACGAUGUCUACUAGCCGUUGGGGCCUUUGAGGCUUUAGUGGCGCAGCUAACGCGAUAAGUAGACCGCCUGGGGAGUACGGUCGCAAGACUAAAACUCAAAUGAAUUGACGGGGGCCCGCACAAGCGGUGGAGCAUGUGGUUUAAUUCGAUGCAACGCGAAGAACCUUACCUGGCCUUGACAUACUA